GUCCUCUUUGCUUGCAGCAUGCUCCCGGGGAAGAUGAAACCAUGGCAGUGCCAUAUGAAGCAUCUGAGGUUGUAUCUCAAGGUGUACUGAGAAGAUAUAAAAGAUGUCCUCACUGAGCUGGAUCACUUUCAGAUGAAACCAUGGCAGUACCACAUGAAGCAUCUGAGGUUGUAUCUCAAGGUGUCCUGAGAAGAUAUAAAAGAUGUCCUCACUGAGCUGGAUCACUUUCAGAUGAAACCAUGGCAGUACCACAUGAAGCAUCUGAGGUUGUAUCUCCAAGGGGUCCUGAGAAGAUAUAAAAGAUGUCCUCACUGAGCUGGAUCACUUUCAGGUCCAUGGAGAUGUUGUGGAUUAAAGACGUGAAAGGACAAAGGUCCUGGGGAUCAUAAAAUCCUUGUCUGUAACAGGGCUUGUUUGGCAGAUGAGGCUGCUGGUCUCCUUAUCAGGGUCUCCUAGGAUUGUGGAGCAUUUGAGUCUUUGCUUCUAUCAGGGCUUUGGAUUGAAGUGAGUGAAUGGAUUUUGGUUCAAGCAACAAGGACUUUGCCAUGUGGAUAACGUAGCAGAUGUCUUGAAUGUAGUACUUGCAUUUCUGAUAUGAAUGAACCUAAUAAAGGCAAUUUA